UUAUACAGCGAAACUGCGAAUGGCUCAUUAUAUAAGUUAUCGUUUAAUGAUAGUGCCUUACUACUUGGAUAACCGUGGUAAUUCUAGAGCUAAUACAUGCUAAAAACCCCGACUUCGGAAGGGGUGUAUUUAUUAGAUACAAAACCAAUGCCCUUCGGGGCUCUUUGGUGAUUCAUGAUAACUAUACGAAUCGCACGGCCUUGCGCCGGCGAUGGUUCAUUCAAAUUUCUUCCCUAUCAACUUUCGAUGUUUGGGUAUUGGCCAAACAUGGUUGCAACGGGUAACGGAGGGUUAGGGCUCGACCCCGGAGAAGGAGCCUGAGAAACGGCUACUACAUCCAAGGAAGGCAGCAGGCGCGCAAAUUACCCAAUCCCGACUCGGGGAGGUAGUGACAAUAAAUACUGAUACAGGGCCCUUUCGGGCCUUGUAAUUGGAAUGAGUACAAUUUAAAUCCCUUAACGAGGAACAAUUGGAGGGCAAGUCUGGUGCCAGCAGCCGCGGCAAUUCCAGCUCCAAUAGCGUAUAU
rnacentral:rRNA from 1 species